rnacentral:rRNA from 1 species
CCUGAGCCAUGCUGCAGCAGGGUUACUCGACGGGCGAGCAUUGAGGUUCCAGCCACCCAUAUCCGUGGGCGAGCGAUAGCCAGGACCAACGGUGGAGCAGGUGACUAUCCCUCUUGUCCAGGUACCUGGAGCUCGGCCCUGUGCGGCUGGGGUUUGAAGACUCUAGCAAUCCAACCUGACCCCCUGCUCGUGCUGUCUCUGGCCCGCCUCUCACUUCUCUCUCCUCCAGGCCCCCCAAAAGAGGAGCAUAGGGGAUACAUGAAGGAUGAGUGAAUCGGGCGAGUCGGCCGGCUACAUAACAGCCUGCCUCCGUCACUGUGGGAAGCGCUGUGCUGCUGCAGGCAGGCUUCCGGCUGAGCACCUGGAUUUUUUUGUUUGUUUUAAAACCAUGAUGGUCUCGGCCGACUUCCAAGUGGGAAGCUUGACGGGGCACUGGGCUGUCUCCCACUGGCCUCUCCUGCACCAUCAGGUUCGGGCCAACGUCUGGAACAAAAAGUUGCCUGUGACUCUUGGCAGUGGAUCACUCGGCUCUCGCGCAUCGAUGAAGAACGCAGCUAGCUGCGAGAAUUAGUGUGAAUUGCAGGACACAUUGAUCAAUGACACGUUGAAUGCACCUUGCGGCCCCGGCUUCCUCCCAGGGCUCCGCCUGUUUGAGGGUCGCUUGAACAUCAAUCACCCAAAGGUUUGCUCCCCGGGGUGCAGCUGUCCCAGGGACCCCAUUCCCUUUGUCCCCCUAAGGUCAGACCCCAAUCAGCACCGUCGCAGGAUCCCUGGACCUGGUGUGCAGGCUUUUUGCCACUGCAUCCUGGCCUCCCCUGUUUCCCCACCUUGUGAGGGUUUCAGGAGGGCCCGGCAUGCCCUGGUGGUGGCAGGCCUUCAAAAAACGUGAUGCACCUUCACCCUACCCCGGGGCUCCUGACACUGCAGCGUGUGGCUGUCCGUGGUGUCCGACGGCUGCAAGCACAGAAUGGACCUAGAGCUGGAGCCUCGCAACCAUGUGGGCUUCGGCCACAAAUCGGGACAGCACGCACUCGGCCACGCUGUGCCCAGUGGGCCACUUUUGGUAAGCAGAACUGAUGCUGCAGGAUGAACGGAACACCGGGUUUAGGCACCCGUUUACCGACACUCAUCAGACCCCAGAAAAGAUGUUGGUUGAUAUAGACAAAGGAGUGUGCAACAACUCACCUGCUAAAUCAACUAGCCCUGAAAAUGGAUAGCGCUGGAGCGUCGGGCCCAUAACCGGCCAGCGCUGAGAGCCAUGGGGGCUAAGCCGCAACUAGUAGGAGUGCCACUGCAGUGCACACCGAAGCCCGGGGCGAGGGCCCGGGUGGAGCCACCGCAGAUCUUGGUGCUAGUAGCAAAUAUUCAAACAAGAACUUUGAAGGCUGAAGUGGAGAAGGGUUCCAUGUGAACAGCAGUUGAACAUGGGUCAGUUGGUCCUAAGAGCUGGGCGAGUGCCGUUCGGAAUGGACGAGUGAUGACCUCCAUUGCCCUCAGCCGAUUUAAAUGGAGUCGGGUUCAGAUCCCCAAACCUGGAGUGGCAGAGACGAGCAGCCUCGCUGCAUCCAGUGUGGUAAUGCAAACGAUCCCUGAGAAGCCGGCGGGAUCCCUGGGGAGAGUUCUGUUUUCUUUGAGAAGGGCAGGACACCUUAGAAUCUGUUUGCCCUCAGAGAGGGGCCAGAGCCUUGGAAAGUCUUGCAAUUCCAGCAGCAUCUGGUGAGCUCUUGCUGGUCCUUGAAAAUCCGAGGGAGAUGGUGUAAAUCUCGCGCCGGGCCGUACCCAUAUCCGCAGCAGGUCUCGAAGGUGACAGCCUCUUCCAUGUUGGAACAAUGUAGGCAAGGGGCAAGUCGGCAACUUCAGGAUAAGGAUUGGCUUCAAGGGCUGGGCCAGUCAGGCUGCGGCACAAAGCGUGCGCUGGCCGAACCGCGGCUGGACGAGGUGUUUCCCUCUGGGGGACACGCCAACUCUGGAUGCGAGCUGGGCCCUUCCUGUGGAUCAACCCAGCUGUGGUGGUACCCUCUCUCCGUUCCCUCCUGGGAUUCGGGGCCAGCAUUCUGCCUCGGCCGACACCUAGGAGCUGACUUAGAACUAGUGUGGACCGUUGGAAUCGGACUGCUAAAUUAAAACAAAGCAUCGCGUAAGGUUCACAGUGCGUGUUGACGCAAUGUGAUUUCUGCCCAGUGCUCUGAAUGUCAAAAUGAAGAAAUUCAAUGAAGAGCAGGUAAAUGGCGGAAGUAACUAUGAUUCUCUUAAGGUAGCCAAAUGCCUUGUCAUCUAAUUAGUGACGCGCAUGCAUGGAUGAACGAGAUUCCCACUGUCCCUACCUACUAUCUAGUGAAACCACAGCCAAAGGAACGGGCGUGGUAGAAUCAGCGGUACAGAAGACCCCAUUGAGAUUCACUCUAGUCUAUCACUGUAAAGAGACAUGAGAGGUGCUGCCGGUGAAAUACCACUACUCCUAUUGUUUUUUCACUUACCCAGUGAGGCGGGCAGUGAGCCUCGUGGGGCUCUUGCUUCUGGCUCCAAGCGCCUGCCAUCCACCGGGCGCGACCCGCACCAGGAACAGCGGCAGCUAGGGAAUUUGACUGGGGUGGUAACCCUGGCAAACGAUAACGCAGGUGUCCUAAGGCGAGUUCAGGCAGGACAGAAACCUCCCGCAGAGCAGAAGGGCAAAAGCUCGCUUGAUUUCGAUUUUCAGGAUGAAUACAGACCGUGAUGUAACGCUCACCUGAAACUCUGCGGGAACCUUCUGGAACUCCAACUGACUUCUACCUUCCUGGGAACUAGACACUGAAUUUCUGUGAAGAAAAUAACAAUUUUCCCUUCCUUAGUUUUCUCUUGUAAAACAGAAGGUCAAAACUGGUAAUAUGGGAGCCAGCAAAUAUCUCACCUUGGUAUUUAAUUAGUUGAGCUCUCCAUCCUGUUCUUAUACAGGGGCGCAAGUUCUGAAGAUGGGACACUGGAUA